UCCUGCCCAGGAAGGACUCUGGAUCCACACU
rnacentral:piRNA from 1 species